rnacentral:lncRNA from 1 species
CAGAACCUACAAAACGCAGGUUAACUUUAGAUUACAUACACAGAAUUAUCUCAGCAAAAAAAGAUUUGAAAGAUUCAUCACCUUGCAGUUUGGUGCGGCAUGCUUCUCCAAGGCAGCAGCCUGAGACUUGUAAAUGGAAACGUUCUUGGACAUGACAUCUUUCCUCUCCAUUCCUUCUUUCCUCGGGAAACCACCAACCAUGACAGCAACAUUGACACCAGUACACCCUUCAACGGCAUCAGUUGUAGCAACCACACCUGUCACGGGGAACAAAGCCAACAUCACAUUCCAGACUCGAGGAACAAAACCAUAUUCGAUCAAAUCAGUGCAAACAUUUACAAUUACACAGAACUUCUUAAAAAAUUGAACUUUACCUUUAAGAAGAGGGAAAGCAGCAUCGACCAACUCCAUUUUCACACCGUUCAAUGCUUCUGCUGCAGGAGGGAUAUCAAGCAUGUGGAGGAUCACAGGCUGGUCCGCACCAAGCAUUAUUCCCCUCGCAAUCAUAGGAACAAGAGCAUAUCCGAUUUGUCCUGCCAAAUAGUCGAAACACAGUUAGAAAUGAUCUCUACAGAAAACUACAUACCAAACGCUAAAACUAAGGUUGCAAAAUCAGAAGAAAACCAAAGCUGCUUUAACCCAAAAUGACAAAAAUCCAUCAGAAAAUCACAUAAUGCUUCAUAUGAUUCAUCGAAAGUGACAAUUUAUUCCAGAAAAUCUUAGAUCUCACAUGUAUCAGGAUUCACACAAACGACACUGGAGCGAGAACUAUACUUUUAUUGUAUCGAAACAGAGAUCCGAUACAGAUCUCACUCUAGAACACAAAAAUACUAGACUAUAAACUAUGAUUAGCAAUCAAUUCGUGGUUUCAUAAAGAUCUGACGAUACUAAUCAAUAACUUUUGCGUUCUCUAAGCGAAGAUCCAAUACAAGAAUAUAGAAGACACUAGAUCGGAGGAAUAUGAAGUUUACCUGCAGCUCCAGUGACGAGAACACGAACUGGAUCCUUUGCCAUCUGAUCGGAUCGAGAAAUAUCGCCGGCGAAAAAAACUAAAAGGGAUCGUGAUUUAUCAGUUUAACAGAGAAAGAGAGCUUGAAAGGCAUGAAGCUGGUCUGUAGUAUAUUUAUUGGUUAUGACGAGCUCAGAUCCAUGGUGUGAUGCCACGUCAUCUAAAUAAAGUCGGAUUAUCUCGAACGUGGAGAUUACGGCUAUCGUAUAAUGCUAUAAUGGGCCGAGUUUCCAUAAAUGAAGCCCAAAUAUUUAAGCGCAUAUGUAUAGUGUUUAGAGGCCCUUGUCCAUGCUCAAUGUUUAAUACGGAGUAAUUAAUAUAUUAUUUUAUCAUUUAUUUUAAUUAAUAGUUUAGACGUUUUUUUGUUAAGUGCUGUCUGAAUAUUUAAACCAAAAUCGUAGCUGUCUUUGUAGAAAAUGGAUGUCAUUAUAUGUUUGACACUGUUCUUGAAGAAAAGGUCUAAACUAGAUUAGAUUGAUGACAUAAUUCUUGGAGAAUUUGAGAAAUUCGAAGAAGUAAUAUUUCUAUAUUAUGAAUUUGCGAUUGUGAUAGAAAAAAGAAAAAGAAUGGGAAACUGUAUGUGGUAAAAAAAAACCUUUUUUUCUUUGGAAAGAAAACUAGAAAAAAAUGAUAUUGCGGGUAAAAAUCAAAUAAGCAGAAAUUUAACAAUUUAAAUAGCUAAUAUAGAUAUGCUAGAGAACAUUUUUGUUUAAUUUGUUUUUUAGAUGCUUCCAGAACAUCCAAAUCAAAUCCAACUACUAAUGUUACAAAUAAAAAGCAAUAACUAUUGUUAUUAUCAUAUGGUUUUAUAUGAUGACGUUACUCGUAUUGAAUAAUAAUUUCAUAAACGAAGAAUAAAGCAAGUUUUGGGAGAAAAAGACAAUUAGUUAAGCUUAUUAAGCAAAAAAACACAAAAGUUAACAAAUUAGGGAUAAGGAAAGAAAAUCUCUGAAGGCCGUCUCAUCAGAUUUCCUUCGAAUUCAUCUCUCCGAGCUCAAAAUAUUUUCUAACUCUUCGAUCAACUUUUCUUCUAAUCAAAUUAUGCCGGAAGAUUGUCGUGAAUCUUCGGAGCCGAACUCCUCUUCUUCAAAUCCUCCUUCACCGAACUCUUCUCAAAGGGAAAGUAAUCCUCCACAGCUGGUCCGCAAGAAUUCUAGAUCGGCUGGUGCAAGUAGCAGCCGACCUCGACCGAGAAUAUAAGCGCCCGAGCAACUGACAGCAGAGACUCGUGAAACUGAAGCUCAGGUAGGACCGAACGUUGAUGGCGUUAAUCAUGAAAUCGAAGAAGUUGCGGAAUCUGAGGAUGAGAAUAUUGAAGGGAAUGACGCCGAAGUAGAUGUUACCGAGGACAACCUUGAAGCGGUGAAUCACGCCUCACCGCCUAUUCCGAAACGAAGAGUGGUCCGUCCUCAUGACGUACCGUCUUCUUCUCUUUCUCCGAGGGAAGUUCAGGCCGUACUUGAGGACCACGGGCUCUCAGAAAGAGUCGUCUUCAUUAUACCUGAAGCUGGAGAUCGGCCAUGGGACGUUCCCGAAGGCUUCCUCUGCAUUUACUUGACUUAUUUCACGCAAUGCGGGCUCUCUCUUCCGAUUCCCUCUCGUCUUCUCGGAUAUUGUAAUCGGCGAGGCGUGGCUCUUACUCAGAUGAUGCCGGCGUCGGUGACGAACUACGUAGACUUUGUCACCUUAUGUACCGAGCUCGAUGAAACUCCGACUACUCGGCUCUUUGAAGAUCUCUUUUCGGUCAAUAUUCACAAGUCCAUAUAGUGGUUUUUCGCAGCGAACGCCAAGCCGAAGAAAGAUAUCGUCACUGAGAUCAAACCCAGUAAAUAUAACGACUAGGAAUCCCAGUAUUUCUUUCUCGAGAUGAACGAUCUCACAGUCAGCAAUUCUGACAUCCCAACUCAAUCGGAAUGGAAGAUUCCGAUUGGUAGAUCUAGAUGAUCUUGUACUUUCGUUGAUUUCCGUUUUCAUAUUUUUCGAACUUCCUUUUUGGUUUAUCUUUGCAGGUCGUCAUCUCCCAAGCAUUCUUCUCAAUUCCAGACUCACUCCUGAAUUCCAAGCUGCCUUUAGCGAAGCCGGCAAACGUCGUUGGCCUGAAGCUUGGGAAGAAAUACUCCAGCGCCGAGCUAAGAAAUCAUGUUUGAUUAAUAGGUUUACUUUUAUCCUUUUAUUUUGAGUUUUUCCUAACUCUUCCUUGUGUGUUUUACAGCUUCUGUUAAGGAACCGAAGCCCCUGAAACCAAAGAGUCGAGCUAACAAGCCUCGAGCUGCUCCCAGACGGAAAGUGCCAAAGCCGCAAGCUAGACGAGCUCGACCAGCCAGGAUGCUUACGCUGGACGAGAUCCCUACUCUCUUCGACGAGGAGGAACCGAACGAUGCAGUUCCGAAUCCGAUCCCUGCCACUGAAGGGAUUAAUGAACAGCCUGAAGAACUGCCUCCAGCUGCGAACUGGCCUGACCAGACUGGUCAUAAGAAGCUGAAAAAUAAGAAAUCCUCAAAGAAAAUUAAGAGGAUUGAAGGUUCUUCUCGGGUGCAGGAUGCUACUGCCGAGCUCGAUCCUCCGAUGGCUGCGACAUCAGACCUUGCGAUUCCUCAGGAUCAGCCUGAAGCUUCCAACUCCCGGAAGAGGCAAGAAAGAGGUCAUGCCGAGGGCUCUCCGGAACCAGAGCCGGCCAAGAGGACUAAGCUUUGUUUUGAUUAUGAUGAGGAAGGCCCUUUUGAGGAGAACGUCGAUGCCUGCGCCGACCUCUACCAUAAGAUCUCCACUGAGGUCCCGAGUCUUCCAGCGAUCUCCGAGCUCCGGUUCCCAAAUUUGUACAAAGGGAUCACUCCUACAACUGCCGUGGUAAUUUCCUGGUUCUUAUUCUCUUCUUAUUUCUUUCCCAAGUAUGAGUUCUGAUCGCAUUUUCUUUUUCGCAUCUCGCCAGCCAGACCAACAACUUGGUCGCGGCAUAUGAAGUUGCUUUGUAUGACGAGCAAGUGAGAGUCGCCAAGCUGAAAGAACGGAUUUCUAAGGCUGAGGAUCGUCUUGCCACCGAGCUCCAAAUAAAUGACAGUCUUCACACCGCUGUUGACUUGCUGAAGCAGGAGAGUUCGGAGCUUAAGGCAGUGAAACCCGAACUGACCGAAGCGCAGAGCUUACUUUCUCGGGAUUUCGAGAAAGAUAAGGAGCGACUGCAGGGUUUAGUGGCUCAUUGGAAGGUUCGAGCAAGGGGCGUUCACGCGAAGGCUUGCGAACGCUUGGAAAAGGUUAUCUGCAGCUUGGAUGAUGCUGAUCGGGCUCGUAAGCCUUACCUGGUGGUCAACCAGCUUACCGGAGUUUUCGGCUUCAUCAAACAGCUUAAGAAGAAGGGUUUGUAUGAAGUUCUGCCCGAGAUGGUGGCCAAGAUCGAGACGAAGCAUGCUAAGGCGCUGCAAGAAUUUCGUUCGGUUGAUGCUUGCGUCCUCAUGGAAGAAGAUAAGCGGAUGUCUCCUCUUCCGGAAGAUGGCGAUGAUGUUCCGGCCGAGAACGUGACUCGAAGCGCGCAGGAUCAGGCGAGAGGCGAGCAGUUCGGCUCGAACGAUGAGAUACUCAACGCGGUUCAAACCGCGACUUCUAAGACUGUUUAGUCUUUUUACUUUUUUUUUCUAAGUCGAACUCAAUUGCCCUUUAAUGGGUUAUUUUAUAUGUUUUUGUAAUAUUUUGUUUAUUUCUGAACCCUCGGUGGGUUUUUAUAUUUCAAACUUAUUUGUCUUUCGGAAGGCUUUAUGAUAUGCUUGUUCGUUCUAUUUGUUGGAGUAUCUUUUUCUUAAUUGUUUCGAAAAUCUGUUAAGUAGUAGAUCGGUAUUUAGUGAGUGUUGUUCGAGCUUAAUUUUAUCUUUUGGUAGCGCAUUGCGUUAAUUCGGCUUAUAUGUGCAAGUGUUGAGAACUUGGCUUAUAGUGCGAAUCUGAGGAGUUCGGCUUGUUGUGCAAGCAUUUGAGCUCGGCCUGGGCAGGGCCGGCCCACACCUAAGGCCCAUGAAGCAAUUGCUUCAGGGCAACCCAUAAGGCUCUAAUUUUUGGAGCAACAAAAAAAGCCCAAUUUUUUUUUAUAAGUAUGUGUAAAAAUUUUAUCCCACAUCGAUCAAGACUAAAAAAUGGGAAGGAAAAAUUGUCUAUAAAUAAGAGUCAUUAUCCCUUUCAAAUAUUUUAUAAAAAAAAUUGAUUUUGGCUUUAAAAAAUCGAUUUUAAGCUUAAAAAAUCGAUUUUAGUUUUUAAAAAUCGUUUCUAGACUUCAAAAAUUCGUUUCUGUGCUUCAAAAAAUCGAUUCUGAGUUUUAAAAAAAUCGAUUUAAAGUUUAAAAAAUUAAAUUUUUUCAAAACAAAUUAUGUUUCAAUGAUAUUUUAUAUUAUUUUAAUAUAUAUUUAAAAUUAUGCUGCAAAAAAAAAAUUUCGAUUAAGGGCAUCAUUUUUAUAGGACGCUUUAGGCGUCAAAUCACUUUAAAAAUAUGCUGCAAAAAAAAAAUUUCGAUUAAGGGCAUCAUUUUUACUGGACGCUUCCUGGGCCUGGGGAACCCAAGUGAGUCGUAUCGUAUUGGAAGAGUGAGUUUGAUCGAACUCCUGUAACGCACGAGACGAGCUCAAGGUUUUCUAAGUCGAACCUAAGUGUGCGAGAUGGGUUCGGCUUAUUGUUCUUGGUGACUUAGAAUUUUUAUUGCAGGACUGGCCCCGGCUUUUUAAAGUGGUUUUUACCACGGCACCAUGUGGGUGUUCGCGAAACGGAUCUCGGCUUUUUAAGUCUGCAUUCAUGUGGAAUGAUAUCGAACAACUGGGCAGGAAGUCGAUGUUAGAAAAGUAGGAGUUUGGUAUCUCGUGAGUACCGAACUAAAACUUAGGCGUUUUUACUUAAUAAAAUUUUAUUGAUGUUAUAGCUGGACUCGGUAACGAGCUGCUUACGUACCCUUUAAAACGGAUCAAGCCAUUCGUAGUUCUAAGUACAAAAAGGUUUUGCUCCGAACUAAGUAGUUUGGAGGCUUUUUUUUUUGAAUCAGAUGACGAUCUAAUAGUAGUAUCGUUUGAGAUGCAUUGAGUUCCAGGAUCGCGGGAUCGGGGUUCCGUCGAGCUUCAUGAGUUGAUAAACGCCGGGUUUAACAACUUUCAUCACUUGGUAUGGUCCUUCCCAGUUCGCGCCGAGUUUUCCAGCAUUCUUUUCUUCUGUGUUCUGGUAAACUUUGCGAAGUACGAGAUCGCCAUCUUCAAAGUGACGGCCUUUUACCUUCUUUUGUUGUAGUAGCGAACUGCCAGUUAUUGGUAGUUUUGUAUCCGGAGUAAUGCUCAUUCUCGGUGUUCUUCGACUAAGUCAAUUGUGUCGAGCAUCAUGUCUUUAUUCGCGUCGGGUUACUGAGUGAGCAUGGUUCGGCGAAUACUAGGAACAUUGAGUUCGGCUGGGCACAUAGCUUCCGUACCGUAUGCAAGGAAGAAAGGUGAUUGACCGGUAGAACGUCGUGGUGUAGUUCGAUGGGACCAUAAGACACCAUCAAGUUCGUCCGCCCAAGUUCCCUUAGCCGUAUCCAGUCGCUUCUUCAGACCAUCGAUAAUGGUUUUGUUCGUGGCUUCGGCUUGCCCGUUUCCUUGUGGAUAUCGCAGUGUAGAGAAAUUUAGGCGGAUUUUCCAUUUGGCGCAAAAAUCUGUGAAAAUUAUUGAAGUGAACUGGGUGCCGUUAUCUGUGACGAUCUCAUACGAGACGCUGUAUCGGCAGAUGAUGUAUUUCCAAAUGAACUUUUUGACGUCGAUGCCGUGUAUCUCGGGAUAUGCCUCGGCUUCGACCCACUUGGUGAAAUAGUCGGUGACGACCAGAACGUAUUGCUUCUGGGUUGUAGAUCGGCGAAAUAGACCGAUGAUGUCCAUUGCCCAACGCAUGAAAGGAUAUGGUGCGGUCGAGGUCAUCAGUAGUUCGGUAGGAAAAUUGAUCAUCGGGCCAUGACGUUGGCACUUCUCGCAUCGUGCAGUAUACAUUUUGCAGUCGGAGAGCAUAGUAGGCCAGUAAUAGCCAGCUUUCUUGAUCUUAAAUGCCAAAGACCGGGCUCCAGAGUGAUUCCCUUUCUGCAUAACUUCCAUGAUGUCGUUGCCGUGAACACAAGUCAAAAGUGUGCCGGACGCAUCCCAUCUAAGGAGGGUGCCUUUAAUGACCACGUACCGAGCUGCACGAGCCUUAAGGCGUCGAGCUGCCCAUUUAUCUGCGGGAACUGUUCCAUCGCCAAUGUAGCCGACGAUUUCUAAAGUCCAAUCUUCGGGCUCGUCAUCGCCUUCAGCCUCGAUAUCGAUUGGGACGUGUUGGCCUUUGGAUUCAUCCUCGUGAUCAGACUCGUUGUCGUCUUGUUCGUUCAUAUCGGUAUCGAGAUCGGUGACAACUUCCUUAGGUUUGGUCUUCCGGGUGAGGGGUAGAACGAGGUUGGGCCAUGCUUCGUAGUCGCAUCGUAAAAAUAUUGCAGCUUGGAGCGGGUUCGAUACUAGGUCGUUCGCUUGCCGCGACUGGAAUUGUUCGCCAGAGAUCAAGAUCGGAGUUAGUCGCAAGGGCGUCUAAAGCAUCAGCGGUAGCGUUCUCGUCACGCGGUAUCUUCGUGAGCUCGAAGGUCGAGAAUUCCAAAGCAACAUCUUUGAGGACUUUGAGGUCAUCCAUGCGAUCAUUCUUGGCUUCAUAUUAACCGUGAAACUGAUUAGCUACGAGUUGAGAGUCGCAGUAGGCGUGGAUGUGUUCGGCGCUGAUUCCUUUGGCGAGUCGUAAUCCGGCAAUUAGCGCUUUGUAUUCAGGUUCGUUGUUAGAUGCCGGGAAGCCGAGGCGGAAUGACUGUUCGAUGACCUCGCCUUCAGGAGAUUUGAGACGAAUUCCGACGCCGGAUCCUUUAUGGGAAGAGGAGCCAUCGGCAUGAAGGAUCCAGGGUUGUAUGGCCGGGUUAGCAUCGACGAGCUCGAAUGGGAGUUCGACCAAGAAAUCCGCCAAGACUUGGGAUUUCGUCGUGGUCCUUCCUCGGUAUUCGAUAUCGUAUUCGCUAAGUUCAAUGGCAUAUUUGGCGAGUCAGCCGGAUUGACUUGGGCUGUGAAGGAAGGUGUGAAGAGCAUGGUCGGUUAAGACAACGAUCGGGUGUGACUGAAAAUACGGGCGUAACUUUCGUGCGGAGAUAACCACGGCGAAGGCGAAUUUCUCCAAGGUUGGAUAGCGAUACUCAGAUCCGUCGAGGGACUUACUUGUGUAGAAAAUUGGCUUCUGCUCACCACGGUCUUCUCGACACAAGGACAUGCUGACCGCAUAUUCUGAGAUCGCGAUGUAAAGGUAGAGUGUCUUGCCAGUUUUGUGUUUGGAUAGAACUGGUGGCGUAGACAAGUACUUUUUAAGCUCGGAAAAAGCUUCCUCACACUUCUCAUUCCACUCUAGAUGCUUGUUACCGCGGAGAAGUUGGUAGAAAGGCAAGCACUUGUCUGUCGAUCUGGAUAUGUAUCGAUUGAGUGCCGCAAUGCGUCCGGUUAACCACUAGAAUUCUCGUUUGGUUGUUGGAGACGGGAGCUCGAGUAUAGCUGCAAUCUGCUUCGGAUUAGCUUCAAUGCCACGAUGUGUGACUAUGUAUUUGAGGAACUCGCCGGAUGUUAUGCCGAACGUGCACUUAGUGGGAUUGAGUUUCAUGCCGUAUUGGUCUAGAAUAUCGAAGCAUGUGCAAAGAUGGCCGACAUGAUCAGAAGCGACGAGUGACUUGACGAGCAUGUCAUCAAUGUAGACUUCCAUAGUUCGCCUGAGAUGGCUUGCGAACAUUCGGUUGACUAGGCGUUGGUACGUUGCUCCAGCAUUCUUCAAACCAAAGGGCAUAACCUUAUAGCAGUAUAUGCCGCGAUCCAUGAUAAACGAUGUUUUGUCCCGGUCUUGAGGAUGCAUAAGGAUCUGGUUGUACCCGGAAAAUGCGUCCAUGAAUUAGAGGAGUUCAUUUCCGGCAGUUGCCUCUACAAGGCGGUCGAUAUGAGGCAAAGGAAAGCUGUUUUUUGUGCAUGCUUUAUUGAGGUCGGUGAAUUCGACGCAAAUCCUCCAUUUGCCGUUCUUCUUCUUGGCAACCACGAGAUUUGCUAGCCAGUCAGGGUACUUGACCUCAGUGAUGGAUCAUGCUCUGAGUAAUCGCUCGACCUCAUUGUUGACGGCUUGUGCCCUCUCUGGCCCGAGUUUUCGGCGUUUCUGCUUGAUCGGCUUGUAUGUCGGGUCGAUGUUGAGUUCAUGACAAGCGAUUUGUGGAUCGAUCCCGGGCAUAUCCUCUACUGACCAUGCAAAGGUGGAUAAGUGUUGCUUCAGGAAGUGAACGAAAAUGUCAGGAUCUUUGGGUCAAGUUUGGCGCCAAUGCCGACCUGUGCUCCGGCCUUAGUUCGUCGAUGCAGACUUGAGUAAUCGACUCUUGCUUCGGUUUUGUUUUUUGGACAAUGAGAUCGGCAGUUGGACCUUGAGAACUGAUGAUGCAGGCUUGGUUGGCCGAGCGCAGCUUGCAUUCAUUUAUGUAGCACGAUCGGGCGACGGCUUGGUUACCUCGGAGAGUGUAAAUACCGUCGGGAGUCAGGAAUUUGAGGCAUUGAUGGUACGUAGAGGCAACUGCCUUCAUCGCGUGUAACCAAGGUGUGCCGAGAAUAGCGUUGUAGAUCGCUUUGUCAAGGAUGAGGAACUGUAUGAUCUUCGCCACUCCGGCGAGGUAGAUCAGGAUUUUGACUGUGCCGACCGUCAUGCAACGUUUGCCAUCAAACCCCCUGUGAGUGGCUCGAUAAAGGGCUCAAUUUUGUCUGACGGUAUAUCGAGCUAAUCAAGCGCGUAUUUGAAGAUAAUGUUGACCGAACUGCCUGUAUCAAUAAGAAUGCGGCUAACUUCGACAUCGUCGAGAAGUAGUUCGACGACGAGGGCGUCGUUGUGUGGUUUGUGCAACCCGAUUGUGUCGGCUUCGGUGAAUAUCAAAGGGGUCCCCUUCGGUGGAUUGUGCGGGAGCUUAGGCGCGGUGGCGGCUUGUCUGCUGUAUUCCUUGAUGGCCCGAACUGAAUAGCUGCAGGCUUCGAUAGCUCCCAUAAUCAUGUAUACACGUUUCCUUGCUUUGGGAGUAUGGUUUUCUGGCGCGGGGUCAUCGCGGUUGCGUUUCGGUUGCUCGGGUAAACCAGGUUUCGGUGGAGGCGGCGGUAAAGCUGGUGGAUCUUUGGCGACGGCGUUCUCGGGCGGUACGUUAUUCGGUCGAGGUGACCUGUUCCUUGGAGCGUUUCAACGACGGAGAUCGUCGAGCGAGAUUUGUCCUUUUCGAUACUGUGCAAGUAGGUAUUCCCGUAGAUGUCUGCAGUCUUCGGUGCUAUGUCCUUUACGGUUAUGGAAUUCGCAGAACAAUGACUCGUCUUGAUCUUCUUCGCUGCGGAUCCACUUAUUAUUCCACUGCUUGGCCGGUUGCUGGAUGGCGUUAGCGUAGAACUUCUUGUGAUUCUCGUACCCUCUGCUAUAGCCCAAUUGAGGUUCGUUAGUGGCGGCCUUUGGUCGUUCGGGCUGCUUUGCCGAAUAGCUCUGCUCAUAGGCUGCCUCCUCUUCUUCUUCAGCGAUAUAAGUGUUAGCUCGGUGUAGUGCGUGCUCCAAGGUCUGCGGGGGGUUGUGCGUGAUCGCGCUCCAGAAGCUUGUUUUUAUUCGAGCUCCUUUCUGGAGACAUAAGAGGGCGGCUUCGUCGCUUCGUGCAGUUGGCAACGAUCGUCUUGAAGCAUUGGAUGAAGUCACAGAGGAUCUUGUUUUCUCCUUGAGCUAUCUACCAUAGUUCGGAGUUCUUGGUGUUCUGUCCUAUGAACAUUGAGAAGUGCUUGACAAAGGUCGUCGUUAGCUCCUUGAAGUUAUUUAUUGAGUUCGCCUCGAAUCGUGAGAACCAUUCGAGAGCUAUUCCUCCUAGAUUCUCGACAAAUAGCUGACACUGGACCGCAUCCUUCUCCUCGGCAGACCUGAACUGGUAUCGAUUCAUGCAGAUUCCGAAUGAGGUAAAAAAAUGUCGGGGAUCGGUAUUGCCUUCAUAGAUCUUGAUCUUGAGUAUCUCCAUGUGUUUGACAGGCGUUCCCGCUAUGCGCGGUGUAAAGGAUGUCUUUUGUGUUUCCUAAAUGACGCGCUCGAUCUUCGGGGCCGCGCUCGUUGCUUGGUGAAUUUUCGAAGUGAUCUGGCAGAGCUGUGCCUUCAUCGCUUCGAACUCGGCAUCGCGACUCAGAUCCGGUAGUGUUGGAGCGUUUGUCGAUCUGACAGCAGUGGAUCGUAUAGUUCCGGCUGGGUCCCCAUCAGUAUUGAGGUCGUCAAUGAUGUUCCGAACUCGAAGGGGAGUCCGUGCUUGACUGAGCUCGGCGAUCUGUGCCGCCAUCUGACUGAAGCGCUCUUCGCUCCUUUUGUGGAUAGCUUCAAACUGAGCAUUGAACACUUGGAGCAGUAAUUCGGUUCCAAAGCCUCCUACGGCUGCAGGAGUUUGGCCGGCCUCUGCUCCAGCGGUUUCCCCAGGGUUUCCUCCUGUCUGCUCUGCGGGGGUUCGGAUGGCGCCGUUCUCUUGACCGAGAGGGUUUUCUUCCUCAUGGAUGUUGACUUGGUCUGUCAUAGCUGAUUCGAUCUCUCCGAAAAUCCGAUCUAAAACUGAGUAUUCUGUUAAGUCCCCCUACCUAGCGCGCCAAUUGUUGAUAUGUGAAUAUCGACAAAGGACAAAACAGUAAUUUAGAUCGGCAAACUCGGAUUUUAUUAGAUCGAUCAAAGAAUACAACUGAGUUUGGUGAAUUCGAACUAAGACUUAUGAAACUAAGAAGCUAAACCCAAUCCGCCUUUAUGGCUGGAAGAUUGAUCUUGGAUAACAUACUGAUAGCUCAUGAGAUGUUUCACGGAUUACAGACCAAUAAAUCAUGCAAAAGUAAAUAUAUAGCAAUUAAAACAGACAUGAGCAAAGCUUAUGAUAGAGUAGAGUGGUCUUUUAUCAAACACCUACUAAGACACUUUGGGUUUGUGAAAAAGUGGAUAAUAUGGAUGAUGCGAUGUAUUACUUCUGUUCAAUAUAUAGUUUUAUUAAACUGGCAGCCAAAAGGGCAAAUAAUUCCGGGAAGUGGACUCCGUCAAGGAGAUCUGCUAUCCGUACUUAUUUAUCCUAUGUACGGAAGUGUUAAAAUAUAAGGAAAGCGGAGAAUGAAAAAUUACUAACGAGGCUUAAAAUUGCAAGGGCAAGUCCAUCAGUCUCACACUUACUUUUUGCUGAUGAUAGUCUAUUUAAGUCCUCAGUUCAGUUUGGCCACACGGUUCCUGAAAUAGUACAAAAUGAGAUCAAACAAAUUUUAAGAAUUACGAGGGAAGGGGGAACAUGAUCUUACCUUGGCAUCCCCGAAAGCAUGGGUGGAGCCAAAUCAAAGAUUUUUAAUUUUGUCGCAGACAGACAACAGACUCGAAUUAAUAGUUGGACCUCGAAAUUGUUAUCAAAAGGGAGAAAAGAAACGUUAAUUAAGUCAGUGGCAUCCGCAAUGCCCACUUUUGUCAUAUCAUGUUUUUGGUUACCUAAGUCUACUACAGGAAAAUUGAAUAGUGCAGUGGCACGAUAUUGGUGGAGCUCAGAUGGUCAUCAACGAGGGAUGCAUUGGCUGGCAUGGACAAAGAUGUGCAGAGAUAAAGUGGAAGACGAAAUCGGAUUCCGAGAUGUGAAUGAUUUUAAUACAGCGUUAUUGGCAAAACAGUUAUGGCGACUAAUAGAUAAACCAGACUCAUUGUUUGCACGAGUUUUUCAAAGGACGAUAUUAUCGGAACGCAGGCCCUUUGGAUCCUGUACGUUCUUACUCACCGUCUUACGGAUGGCGGAGCAUCAUUGUGGCUAGAUCUCUGGUUAAUAAAAGGCUAAUUAAAAGAAUUGGUUCAGGAUGUUCUAUCUCAAUAUGGAAUGAUCCCUGGAUACCUUCUUAUUGCCCAAGAUCAGCCACUUGUAAGAGUUUUAAUUACUACCUUAAUCUAAUGGUCAAUCAUCUGAUUGAUCCAGUGACAAAAACAUAAAACUUGAAUUUGAUAAGAGCAAUAAUCGAACCAGCUGAUGUGGAAAUAAUCUGGGAAUCCCUGCCUAAUCAAUUGGGCUGACAUUUCACAAAAUAUGGAAAAUACAUGGUUAAAUCAGGGUAUAAAACUGAAAGACAAUUAUAAAAUAGGGGGCUCAGAGGACUACUAUUGUCCAAAUAUAAAGGUACUACAAGCACAUACUUGGAGAUUGAAAUGCUCACCUAAGUUAAAACACUUUAGAUGGCAAGCAAUAUCGGGAUGUCUUUCUGUACCAGCUAGGCUGAAUAAGCGAGGAAUACAAUGUGACACACAAUGUGCACGAUGUGGAGCGGAGGAAGAAACAAUAAACCAUGCCCUUUUCGAAUGUUCCCCCGCUUUACAAACUUGGGUAAUACCCCAUAUACCAACACCCCCGGGUGUAUUUCCAAUGACCUUAGUUUACUCAAAUUUUGAUCAUCUUUUUUGGAAAAUACCAAACGAUAUAAACAACAUACAAUUCUCAUGGAUUGUAUGGUAUAUUUGGAAGGCACGCAAUAAGAAAGUGUAUUUGAACCUUGAUGUUGAUCCACAAAUUACUUUAAAAAUAGCGGAGACCGAAGCGGCAUUAUGGGAAGAGGCUCAAAGGCGGGAACAUGAUUCAGGGAACUCAGACCCCAUAAAUACGGACAUUUCUAUGGACAUAUCUUUAUUACCCGCGACUUUUGAAGGGUGGUGGUGUUAUAUCGAUGGCUCUUGGAAAGAAACGGAAUUAUCUACUUUUGAAGGGUGGUGGUAUUAUUUUAAAGAAGGUGCAAGGGACAAAAUAAUGGGGGCACAAAAGGAAAUUUAACAGCCCUGCAUGCAGAAAUGGAAGCUCUAAUAUAGGCUAUGCAUUGUAUGUUAGAGAACCAGAAAACAGAAGUAACUUUUGCAACAGACUGUUCGGAGUUGGUGAAGAUGGUGUCUACACCAUGAGAAUGGUCAGCAUUUGCUCUACACUUGGAGGAGAUUGUGAAGAUGAAGGACAUGUUUAGCUUUUUCACUUUAUCAUAUAUCCCACGCACGAAGAAUUUAAAAGUAGACAAUUUAACAAAAAGUGAUUGGAUCUACUCUCAAGAAGUCAUCUAUGUAAACUUGUUGAUAUGUGAAUAUCGACAAGGGACAAAACAAUAAUUUAGAUCGGCAAACUCGCAUUUUAUUAGAUCAAUCAAAGAAUACAACUGAGUUCGGUGAAUUCAAACUAAGACUUAUGAAACUAAGAAGCUAAAGUAUUGAGUUCUCAGUCUCUAAGUCUCUCUGGAAUUUCUUGUGUCUUCUGGUGUCGAUUCUUCUUCCUUUAUAUAUAUCUUCUAAGUCGGUCUUCAUGGGUCUUCUCUGCGAUAUGGGACCGAAGACUUUCCUUUUCUCUCGGUCUUUUUCCUUUUCUCACGGCAAUUUCCUUUCUUCUCGUCAGUUUCCUUUUUCUGUUCGGAAACUUUCCAUUUUCCUCCGAACUCAGAGAACUUCUCGGUUCCCUUGAGAAGUUUCUGACCGACUUCGGCUUGUUGGGCUAUGUUCGGCCCAAGAACUCACUCGGCCCAAUAUUCCCGGUAUAUUUCCUUCGUAAACCGGGCUUGCUUCGUGCCGAUCUCGGUUUGUACCGGAGAAAACCGGGGAUGCGGUUUUCACCUCCAACAAAACUCAAUAUCAUCGGUUUGGGGUAACCGAUUUCUAGAUAUUUAAGCUGAUGACAAAAAAAAUCAGUUAAUGAAAAUGUCAAAAAGUCGGAUGCCAAAAAGUCGGAUGCCAUGAAUUUUAUAUUUUCACGUGUCCUUCCCAAAAAUCCCUAUUUCAUUUUACAAUGGUACUAGUUAACUUUUUCGCGCUUUGCGCGGACCGAUAUAAUUUUCCAUUUGGUUGUUUGGGAAUCUAAUAGUAGUUUGGAUUCAUUUGUUUUUUUUUUAUCCUCUAUUGUUGAAUAUAUUUGUUUGUUAAAUUUCCCUGCAUUUUAAUGUUUGAAAACAUGAUCAUGAAAACAAUAUAAAAGAGAGUAAAUAAAAACAUAUUAGUAUCGAGAUAGUUUAGUUUAAAUUGUUUUGAGAUCUUUUGAUCAUUAUUUUAUGCAUUUUAGAUGUAAUUUUUUUAAGUAUUGUACGAACUUAUUCCAUUUUAAUCAUUGUUUUAUGUAUUUUAGAUAUCACAAAUACCAUCAUUUCAUUAGACAUUCAUUGAUUGAUUUUUACUUUUUCGUUAGAUUUGACUAAAUAUCGGUUUUAUUAAAUUUGAAAAACUUUAUUGAUAAUAAAGUAAAGUAUUAAACCAUAAUAAUUUAGACCAAUAUGAUUCAAGUUAAUUCUUAUUUAAUACUUGUUUAGAAAAACAUUAGUAUAUAUUUACCAUGAUUCCAUGAGUUUUUAGUUGGAACGAAGAAAAAGAAAUUGGUUAGACAAUUUUAAAAGUGAUGAUAGAAUUAGAGAAAAGUGGCUGAUAUUUAUAUUAAAUCAUAAGAAAUCGAAAACCUUAUAAACAUAAGAAAUUGUAAACACUAACAUAUCUAUCAUAAUAAUUAGUGAUAUUUUAUUAGUUAGAAAUUAUUUUUUUUUGUUUUAAACGAUAUUCCAUUAGUUAGAUAAUAGAUUUUUUAAAACUUUUUUAUUAGAUAUUAUUUUUUUUUUAAUUUUGAUUUUUUUUUGUUUUGAAACGACAGUCCAUUAAUUUUUAAAUAGAUUUCAGUUUUUGUUUCUUUUAAUAUUUUUGUUAGAUUUUUUCUAAAUUUCAGAAAAAUAAGAAAUGGUAAACACUAACCUAUAUAUCAUAAUUAUCGAGAACACUAACUUAGAUCUAAUUUUUAAAAUGGUCGAUGGGCUUUAUACACCAUUCCAUAAAAAAUAUAUAUAUAUAUAUAUAUAUAUUUUGUUUUUUAUAAACGUUUUAAUUAUUUUUUUUCUAAAUUUUGGUUUUAUAUCAUUUUAAAACCGGUUUGAUUGACUACAAAAUUAAGCAUCAAACCAUAAUAAUUUAGAACGGUUUGUUUUAAGUUUUUUUACACAUCAUCACAUAAGAACCAAUAAAAAAUAACAUGUAAUUGCUUAAUAGGGCUAAACGGUCUUUUUGCAACCAAAACUCAUUCUGGAGCUGAUACGUAAGCAAAAUGUUGUGAAACUCGCUGUGAGCGCGACACGUAAUCAAAUCACUACACAAAUAAGUAGUUAGAAUGAAGAAGAAGGAAGAGGUUAAAUAAUUUUAAAAGUUGUGAGAAAAGUAGAGAAAAGUGGCUGAUAUUUAAAUUAAACCAUAAGAAAUCGAAAACCUAUAAACUUAAGAAAUCAUAAACACUAUAAUAUUUAUCGAUAUUCUAGCAUAAAUUUUGUUUUUUGUUUGUUUUGAAAUGACAUUUUAUAGCUUUUUAAAUGGAUUCCAUUUUUUUUGUUUCUUUUAAUAUUUUUGUUAGAUUUUUAUCAAAAUUUUGGAAAUAUAAGAAAUGGUAAACACUACGAGAUAUAGAAGAUUUUUUUUUUUUUUUCAAAAACGUUUUUGUUAAAUUUUUUUUUCUAAAUUUUGGUUUUAUAAAAAAAUUUAAACGGUUUGGUUGACCAUAAAAUUAAGCAUUAGACCAUAAUAAUUUAGACCAGUUUGUUUUAAGUUUUUUUACACAUCAUCAAUUAACAACCAAUUAAAAAUGACAUGUAAUUGCUUAAUAGAGCUAAACGGUCUUUUUGCAGCCGAAACUUAUUUUAGAGUUGACACGUCAGCGAAAAAGUUGUGAAACUCGCUGUGAGCGCAACACAUCAGCAAAUCACUAUACAAAUAGAUAGUUUAUGAAAUUUUUUUUUUUUGGUAUGCAACAGGGAGAAAGUUCUCCCCAAGUUUUAUUCAAAAGUCAUAAACUCAAAUACAAACUCGUCUAGAAGUCCCAAUUCCACAACCAUCCUCCGAAACCAGAGGGGCAAUACAAUCCGGGACCAACUCUAGCGAAUGAAAACCAAAGCGUAAAGAAAAAGCAUAGUUAGCUAACCCAUCAGCAAGACGGUUAGCUUCCCUAUACACAUGAACAAUCCGGACAAUCCAGUCCCUCGAGAUAAAGCCAUGGCGCAGUCAUACCAGGAAAGACAGAGGGUGAGCCUCACUAAUCCCUGUCGUUAGAAAACCCACCACCAUCUUCGAAUCCACCUCCAACUCUAGCCUCUGAACUCUCCUUUCCCAAGCAAUGUACAACCCAUAAUACACCCCCCAAAGCUCUGCUACCGGGGCUGAACAUAUCCCAAUAUUAAGAGCAAAACCCGCUAUCCAUCUCCCCUGAUCAUCUCUCAAAACACCACCAGCUGCAGCUAAACCCGGAUUACCUCUUGAAGCUCCAUCCGUGUUCAUUUUAAACCAACCUUCUUGCGGAUGGGACCAAGCAAUCACGCGCUCGACCCAUUGUGUAUCUGAAACCGUCAACCUCUGAACUCAGUUUGCAUCCGAGACCUCCCUAGCCAAAUCCUUGACAAAUUGCACUCUGUCCCGGCAUUUUCUAUUACUGUCAAAUACAUUCCCACAACGCCAUUUCUAAACCCACUACACCGCCAUAGCAAAUAAUGUGGACCAGUUUAAACCGCCCAAGCUUGUAUCCGAAGCCAAGUUUGCAAACAACCAUUCAAGAAGCGAGCAGGAGAAGAACCAACGUCUCUUACUUCUCGGUACAAGCCUUUCCCAUAUACCUGACAUCGCUGGACAAUCUCGCAAAAUGUGAAUUAUUGUCUCCUCUCCUCCUUUACAAACUUGACAUAUCGAUGAGUCACUAAUAUGCCUUCGAAAUCUCUCCGCACUAGACAUAAUCACUUGAUUACUUGCUAGCCACAAGAAUAUUUUUACUCUCUCUAGAGCCACAACUUGCCAAACGCGUACCCAAAGAGCCUCCAUAUUCGGUAAUGGUACAUGAUUUCGGGUCAACAUCAUGUACGCUGUUUUAACCAAAAACUCCCCAUCUGAACUUUCUCCCCAUGACAAACGGUCUUGAGCUCCCGUAAUAUAAUCAACCACAACAGCUCCGAGUCGAAAUUUGAUUAAUUCAGUCACCCACGGCACAAUCCUGCUCUAAUCCCAACCGAAACCAUCUCUCCACAACUCACUAACUCCUUCAUCAAUCUUACUCUUCGGAAUAUUCCCAUCUAUCACCUCCAAAAUCGACUUGUUCAUUAGCCAUUUAUCUCUCCAGAAUGCAACACUCCGUCCAUUCCCCACCACCCACCUAUGCCCCGGUACCAACACUUCACGGCAACCGAUAACAAUACUCCGCCAUGUUGAGGACCACGUAUUCUUGGGCACUAACCAGUCCGCCUCCUUUAACUUCCCCACUUUAUAUUUGCUUCUCAAAACACAUGCCCAUAAGCUAGAUCGGUUGUGUGACAAUCUCCAGCCCACCUUUGCAAGCAUCGCCUUAUUCAUCUCUUGCGCUCUUUUUAUACCAAGACCUCCCUCAUACUUCGAUUUACAUACCCUAUCCCACGCGAUAAGAUGUUGUUUUCGGGUCUCGCUCGUACUGCCCCAGAGAAAAGAUCUCGAAACCUUAUCCAGCUCAUCCAAUAGCACCUUAGGUAAAGCUAUCACACUCAUCGUAUGAAUUGGUAUAGAUUGUAACACAGCCUUCGUUAAAGUUAAUCUCCCUGCAAAGCUCAGGCACCUCUCUUUCCAUCCAGUUAACUUCGAAGAUACCCUCUCCAAAACUUCCCCAAACGUCGCCUUAUUCACUCUCUUCUGGAGAAUCGGCAUACCCAAGUACUUUCCCAAUUCAUCGUGGCUUUAAUCCCACUCUCAUCAGCCACCAUUCGCUUCAUAUCUCGGGAUACAUUGUUAGAGAAAACAAAUUUUGAUUUCUCUAAACUCACCUUCUGACCCGACGCAACACAAAAUUUCUCAAGCACCCUUCGUAUCACUUUUAUAUGUGCUACCGACGCCUCUGCAAAUAAAAUAAGAUCAUCCGCAAAACAGAUAUGCGAAAGUGGAGGACCUCCACGUGAUAACCGGAUCGGUUUCCAUUCUUUCCGAGUAAUGGAAACGUCAUUUAUCUGGCAUAGUAGUUCAAGGCAUAGAACGAACAAGUAUGGAGACAAAGGAUCUCCCUGUUGUAAUCCCUGGAGUGGCUUAAAAGAAUCUGUUUUCUCCCCAUUCCACAAGAUAUUCAUCGAAGGCCCAGUGACACAUCUCAUAAUCCAAUUCACCCAGCUCUGUGAGAAUCCCGCUGCCUCAAGAGUAUCUUCCAGAAAAUCCCAUCGUAUCCUAUCAUACGCCUUCUACAAGUCUAGCUUCAAUAACAUCCAACCUCUGCGACCCUUCUUUCGUUUCAUAGAAUGCACAGAUUCCUGCACUAUGACAAUAUUGUCUAUACUAAGCCGUCCUGGUAUAAAGCUCGACUGUGCUGGCCCGAUCAACUUAGAAAUCACCGAAUUUAACCUCAUUACCAUCACUUUGGUGAUCAUCUUAAACACGACAUUGCAGAGACUAAUAGGCCGGAAUUGAGUGAUUUUUUCCGGUUUAGCCACUUUCGCAAUCAAUACUACCAGAGCAUCAUUCAAACCCAGAGGCAGCUCACCCGUCACGAAAAAAAUCAACACGAAGCUAGUAACCGAUUCUCCCACUACAUCCCAGCACUUGUGGUAAAAGACCGGUUGGUAUCCAUCUGGCCCCGGUGCUUUAUAUGCUCUCAUACUUCGACUAGCAGCCUCCACCUCACUCGGCAACACCGGUUUAUUCAACAAUUUCUUCUCCUCAUUUGACAGCUUCUGAAAACCAUCCCGUGACAGCCCCUCUACAACGGGAUCAACAUCAUCUAAAGAGUAUAAUCUCUUGUAAUAAUCGAUCGCUAGCCCUUCUAACUCUUGCGGAUCCGUGAGCCAAGUGCCAUUGUCAUUCUUUAACAUCUCUAUCCAAUUCCUCCUCCUUCGGAUUAUAGUUGAGGUGUGGAAAAACUUGUGUUCCGAUCUCCUAACACAAUCCAAUUCUCACGAGAUUUCUGGAACCAAAGUGUUUUUUCUUGUUCAAGGACCAUAUCGAGCUCUUUGAUCAGUCCCUCCUCCUCCAUUAACAGCGCAUCCGAUUGAGUGUGCUCAAGAGUAUCCUGUACCACCUUAUUUUCGUUAACAACAUCUCCUUUUUCUUAUGCACAUCUCCAAAAACAUCUUUGUUCCAUCUUCGCAAAGCCUCUUGUAAAUAAGCAAGAGCAUUCGGUGUGUCCAUGUCCCUUCUCCACGAAGCUUUCACCAAAUCCUUGAAACUCGGAUGAGUUAACCAUGCUGCCUCAAACCGAAAAGGUCUCCGACUCCUAUCUCUACUCACCACCAGGCUCAAUUGGACAUAGAGAGGCGCAUGAUCUGAAGCCAGAAACGGUAAAUGGGUCACUUUAGCAUCCUGCCAUUUGAGUCUCGCUUGCGCACAACACAACACUCUAUCCAAUCUCUUUGCAACAUAAUUCUGCGUCACCUUCCCCCUCCUCCACGUAAAUUUGUUUCCACGAAACCCCAUAUCGAUAAGUGAUUCUCCAUUAAUCCAAUCACCAAACGACAAUGAAUCCACCGAUAAUCUCCCAUUACCACCAGACAUCUCAUCCAACCGAACUAUCGUGUUAAAAUCACCCCCGAUUAACACCGGUCCAUCGACCCCCUGUAACGAAUCAUGAAGCUGGUUCCAAAGACCACUUCUCCUACUCACAGUUGGCGCAGCAUACACUGCUAUAACGUGUAGAAUCUCAUCUCCAUUCUCCACACGAAUAUGGAUGAAUUGAUCAGAAGAUCGAAUGAUUCUCACACUUCCAAUACCUUCUCUCCACAACAACCAAAUACCUCCACUCUGUCCAAUGACAUCCACACGAAAGGAGUCCUCAAACCCCAAUCCACGACAAAUUCUACUCGCAUUCUCUCCUCCCACAUGCGUCUCAAACAGUGCCAACAUAUCCGUUUCAAAUUUCUUUAACAAAUACCGGAUUGAUCUCCUAAAGUUGGGUUUAUUCGCCCCCCGGCAAUUCCAGAAUAUACAAUUCAUGAUUAACAUCUCUUUCCAAAUGAGAAUCACCGGGGUAACCCGUUAUUUACUGACAUUCACCUUUCCUCCAUCAGACGAAACAUCAAUCAUCUCCGUUUCAAUCCUCUUUGGGUUCACUUCGGUCCCAAGACUGAUUAUCUCACCUCCCUCUUCACCUACGGGGUUUCACACCCACAUCCUCUAACCGGUUUCUUCCUCUGGCCGAGAAGACUCCUCCCGGUCUCCCCGCAUUUUCCCAGCUCCACUCUUAGGCUUUUACCACUUGAUGGUAGAGUCAUCUCCUCCGAGCUCGACCCGAACACCACCCCUGUCCAACUUUACUUCCCCGACUCUGUUGCCUCUGCACAUACCCAGCUUCCUCUGUUUUGUUGGGCUUUUUUCUCAAUGGGCCCAACUCUUUGAGCCCCUUUACCUUUGCCCAAAAACGACCCAUUCCUCUCUUCUCGGUUAUGUGUCUGUCCCGCCUCCUUUUGGACAUUAAAUCGAAUAACUGCAUUUUCCUUAUUUGCUGCAGAGCAAAUAUUCUUUUCCCUCUCCUUCGGCUCAAUAAUAUCGGCAACUUCUAGCUCACCAAACUUAUUAGAGAUUGUAAUAUUCACCAAAUGUUUUUGAGGAAUCUCCCGUAAAUUUCUCUCCCUUUCCUUAUCCACUCUCCCUGCCACGACCGUACCCAGUUUCUGCACCGGUCCAGUCUUCCUGCUACCCCUGCUCACCUUCGUGAACUCCACAUCCGACUUAUGUCCCACAUUCCCAUUCAAAACUGCAUUACUUGGCACACAAGCAAGAGCAUCCUCCUCCACUGGUCUUCUCGGGCAUGAAUGAAUUGCAUGCCCGUACAGCCCGCAACCCGCACAAAUGUUUGUUAGCCCUUCAUAGGCAACAAAGUACCUCUCCCCAUUAACCCUGACAGAGCCCUUCAAUGGCUUGUUCAAGUCCACUUCCACACAUACCCUAGCAAAACGAGCCCUUUCAAAAUUCAGUGUAGUAAUGUCCACUUUAAUUGGCUUCCCGACUCCUUGCGCUAUUCCCAUCAGGAUCUCUCUAUGAUAAAAAUUCACCAGGAUGUUAGACAAUCUAAUCCAAACCGGUGUUGUGAUAAUAUCAUUCUGCAUCGGAUCAAAGUCCGGUGCCUAUGCCUUCACCAUUAGAUAGCUACCAAAAAUCCUCCAUGGACCCCCAGUCAACGCCGCCAAGUACUCAUCUUCCUUUUCGAAUCGAACCAUAAAAAACUUUCGUGGGAGAUCCAUUACGUGCAUAUCUCCUUACGGUCUCCACAUCUCUUUGAGUCUCCUUGUCAACAUUGUGAUCGGUACAUCCCUUCCGAGAACUUUCACCACUAUACACUGCUUCCAAAGUCCAUUCAUAGCAUCCAAAACCUCCUGCCCUAUAGUAAUGACCGCCUCUCCAUCCUCUCCAUCCGGAAACUCAAGAUUCAGUCUUGCCCUCACAAACUCCGCAUCUACCACUUUCUCCGGUGAUAACCUACCACCCACAUUCUGCCCUGCCACCUUAUUUGCCCAUGUCAUCCCUACAUCCGGAGGAUCACCCGGCGACCUCCCCCGAUCUCCCACAUCCGCCAUCGCCGUAUCUUGCACAUCCGAAAUCCUAAUCGCCUCACUCAUCACCUUGUGACUUGGUACACUCCAGAUAGUUUAUGAUAUGAUUAAACUUGUUUGCUAAUUGAUUGAAUUAAAUGAUAUAUAGACAUGAUAUAAAUAUGUUAAACUAUUAUCUUUUUUAUUAUUGCAUGAACUUGAUAGAGCUGAAUCGAUUUGCUCUUAAAGAAGAAACUCUCCCCAUUUUUCGUUUCAUUCGUAUUAAACAGUUUUUUUUUCCCUAUCUAGACAAGAAAGUAAAACCAAACAUAGUUUCGGAACAUAUGUUCAAACUUUAGAUAACAAUUCCAAGUUCUUUUUCAGUUACGUAAGAAAAAAUCAAAGCCUUUGGACAGAAAGAGAAGAAAGACACCAAAGUCAUAACCGAAAGAGAUCAAUGAUCAAAAUGCUGCUUUCAUAUGAUCAGCAAAAUCAGCGAACACAUCAGAAAGAGAAAAGAGAAAACAAGUAGUGCUCUUAACCUCAAAGAGGUUAAUUCAAAGUGUCUUUUUAUAACAAAGUUCUUUAUUCGAAAACAAAGCUCUUACAAUCUCCCACUGAUUAAACCGGUUUGAUAAAAACCGGUCCAUCUAAGAGAGGCAUGAGUAAGCAAGGUCCUUCUCUUCCUUCAACUCCUCGGCUGUCAAAUCCAUCUUCUUCCUCGAUACUUCAUCAAUCGGUAAACCUGUGAACAACAACAAAAACACACAUCAGAACAUUCUACAGAACAUCAUUUUAUUUCACUUUGGUUAAGUUUUGGUUUCAAGAAAAUCAUUUUUACCUUGUACAAUAGACCACUCUCCGUUACGGCAGGUUACAGGGAAAGAGUAGAUUAGUCCAGAUGGAACGUUGUAUGAUCCAUCUGAGUAUACUCCCAUUGAAACAAAUGUGCCCUGAGAUUUUGAAUCAAAGAACCUGUUUAGUUGUUUAGUACAUAAACAAUGAACUGAUUCGAAAUCAAGUAAGUAGAAUGUCGAACCUCGGGGGUUCCAAGGACCCAAUCACGGAUAUGGUCACAAGCUGAGCUAGCUGCAGAGAGUGCACUAGAAAGCUUCCUGGCCUUGAUAAUGGCAGCUCCACGUUGUUGAACGGUAGAGAUGAACUCUCCAUUCAACCUACAAACAUAAGUCAACCAAAAUUUAGGAUCGCAUAGACGAAGGUUAGGCAGAGAAUAUCAAAGGGGUUUUAAAAGGUUUGUAUACCACUCGUCGUUCUUGACUAGCUCACGCACAGGCUUUUCUCCAGAAGAAGUUUUGACUGUAGCGUGGUUGACAUCUGGGUAUUGGGUAGAUGAGUGGUUUCCCCAGAUAAUCACGUUCUUAACAUCAGAAACUGGCACGCUUAGCCUCUCAGAGACCUGUCCCAAUGCCCUGUUGUGGUCAAGCCUGGUCAAGCAAGUGAUGUUCUUCUCCGGGAUUGAAGGUGCAAAUUCCUUAAGGAUCAAUGCGUUGGUGUUUGCAGGGUUUGCAACAACCAGAACCUACAAAACGCAGGUUAACUUUAGAUUACAUACACAGAAUUAUCUCAGCAAAAAAAGAUUUGAAAGAUUCAUCACCUUGCAGUUUGGUGCGGCAUGCUUCUCCAAGGCAGCAGCCUGAGACUUGUAAAUGGAAACGUUCUUGGACAUGACAUCUUUCCUCUCCAUUCCUUCUUUCCUCGGGAAACCACCAACCAUGACAGCAACAUUGACACCAGUACACCCUUCAACGGCAUCAGUUGUAGCAACCACAC